rnacentral:rRNA from 1 species
UACAGAGGGGGCAAGCGUUGUUCGGAAUUAUUGGGCGUAAAGGGCGCGUAGGCGGCCAGCACAAGUCAGUUGUGAAAUCUCCGGGCUUAACUCGGAAAGGUCAACUGAUACUGUGCGGCUAGAGUGCAGAAGGGGCAACUGGAAUUCUCGGUGUAGCGGUGAAAUGCGUAGAUAUCGAGAGGAACACCUGCGGCGAAGGCGGGUUGCUGGGCUGACACUGACGCUGAUGCGCGAAAGCCAGGGGAGCGAACGGG